AGUCGAGCGAGAAGGUUUUCGGACUGAGUACAGCGGCGGACGGGUGAGUAACGCGUAGGAAUCUACCCAGUAGUGGGGGACAACUUAGGGAAACUUAAGCUAAUACCGCAUACGCCCUAUGGGGGAAAGCGGGGGAUCUUCGGACCUCGCGCUAUUGGAAGAGCUUGCGUUAGAUUAGCUAGUUGGUGGGGUAAAGGCUCACCAAGGCGACGAUCUAUAGCUGGUCUGAGAGGAUGAUCAGCCACACUGGGACUGAGACACGGUCCAGACUCCUACGGGAGGCAGCAGUGGGGAAUAUUGCACAAUGGGCGCAAGCCUGAUGCAGCCAUGCCGCGUGUGUGAAGAAGGCUCUAGGGUUGUAAAGCACUUUCAGUCGGGAGGAAAGCUUGUAGAUUAAUACUCUGCAAGUGUGACGUUACCGACAGAAGAAGCACCGGCUAACUCCGUGCCAGCAGCCGCGGUAAUACGGAGGGUGCAAGCGUUAAUCGGAAUUACUGGGCGUAAAGCGCACGUAGGUGGUUUGUUAAGUUGGAUGUGAAAGCCCAGGGCUCAACCUUGGAACUGCAUUCAAAACUGGCGAACUAGAGUAUGGUAGAGGUGAGUGGAAUUUCCUGUGUAGCGGUGAAAUGCGUAGAGAUGGGAAGGAACAUCAGUGGCGAAGGCGACUCACUGGACCAAUACUGACACUGAGGUGCGAAAGCGUGGGUAGCAAACAGGAUUAGAUACCCUGGUAGUCCACGCCGUAGACGAUGUCUACUAGCCGUUGGGGUCCUUGAGACUUUAGUGGCGCAGCUAACGCACUAAGUAGACCGCCUGGGGAGUACGGUCGCA
rnacentral:rRNA from 1 species